rnacentral:lncRNA from 1 species
AUGGUGGUGCGAUGCAGAAUGGAGACACAGGAGUGGAAUAUUUCCACGUGGUAUAACAAURUGCACAAUGUACACAAUUUUCCUGCCUUGCCACUGCAGCCACAAGAACUUGACUUAUUGGGAAUUACACAGGCUGCAGUCUGCUUUUAUCUAAAUUAUACUGCAAGGGCACCUACCAAAGAGGGUGACAUUGAUGUAUCUCCCUCAGGCAUUUAUGCCAAUACAYCUGUAUGGUGUAAUCACACCACCUCAGGUCAAAUAACACCUGGACCACAACCCAUAGGGUUGGCUGCUAAGAUAUUCUUAAUUUGUGGUCAGAGAGCCUGUAAAGGCAUACCAGGUAAAACUGUGGGGGGACCAUGUAUCUUUGGACUUUUGACGAUGUUUCAUCCCCAAAAAUUCUUAGUUAAUGGAACUGUCCACACUCGAACAAAGCAGUCCACCCAYGGCUUUACGUUAGGUUGCGAUAGCAAUGUAGAGUUUUGGAAUCCAGCAGAACGUAUCUUGAGUAGUAUUUUUGCAGGAAUAGGGACUGCUCAUGCUUUAUCACAACUUAACAGAUUAGGAUGCUGGCUUGCAAAAGAAGCAAAUGCUACUAGUACUGCUUUAAGCGCCUUAUUAACAGACGUAGAUUCGAUUAGAUACGCGACCUUACAAAAUCGGGCUGCAAUUGACUUUUUGCCAUUGGUCCAAGGCCAUGGCCGUCAAGACUUUGAAGGAAUGUGUUGUAUGAACCUGAGUGAUCAUUCUGAGUCAGUACAUACAAGCAUUACAAAAUUGAAGGAGUUAACAAAACRRCUGCAAGAAGAYGAUGGUGAAAACUUGUGGGGACUGUUUGAUUGGUUGAAUAUGCUUGCUAUAGGGCCUUGGUUAAAACGCAUACUGAUUCUAGGACUUAUUGUAAUUUUUAUGUUUGUUGCAAUACUAAUCUGUGUAUCAUGCUUGUUGAGCUGCGUGCGAAGAAUGAUUGACCGGACUAUGAAGCAAGUCAUGACCCUGCAGAUCCAUACAGCCUUAGCCCUUCAAUUAGUAAAAGAAGGGGGAGAUGUAGAGGGCCAUGGCAGGGUUAAACUGGUGGAAAGUUGCAAGUAG